rnacentral:lncRNA from 1 species
AUGGGAAGGGAAGGGAAUCAGGGAAGGGAAUCAGGGAAGGGAAUCAGGGAAGGGAAUCAGGGAAGGGAAUCAGGGAAGGGAAGGGAAGGGGAGGGAAUCAGGGAAGGGAAGGGAAGGGGAGGGAAUCAGGGAAGGGAAAGGAAAGGAAGGGAAUCAGGGAUGGGAAGGGAAGGGAAGGGAAUCAGAGGGAAGGGGAAGGGGAGGGGGAAAGUGAAGAAAGGAAAGAAAGGGAGGCAACAGAAGAGAAAAGAAGGGAAGGGAAUCCAAGGGAUUCCCAAGGGAAGGGAAUCCAGGGGAUUCCCAAGGGAAGGGAAUCCAAGGGAAUCCAAAAGGUCUCAAGGGAAGGGAAUCCAAGGGAUCCCAAGGAAGGA